rnacentral:lncRNA from 1 species
CCCUUUGAAGGCAAGGACUAUGUCCUAUUCCACCUUGAAUUCUCAUCACCAAGCGGAACGCCUGACACCUAAUCUAGUCAGUGCUUACUAAGUGCUCAUUAUCAAUGCAAGAAUAACAGAGCUAUGGAACCUGGCAGCCACCUCUUUUCUUUGGGCCUCAGUCUUCUCAUGCAGAACUUGGGAUUGGACUAAAUUGGAUCUCCUAGGCUGCCUCUGACUCUAACAAUUCUCUGAUUUAAAUUAUUCUUCAUCUGGAUGUAAUCCACCUUGCUUUUCCAUCCCAGGCUCUGUUCUCACUCAUGGCUGAUGGGCAAAGGCGACUAAGGAGGCACGGCUCCGUGAGGAUGUCCUUACAACUUUGCAACCCCCAAGGAAAAAGAGGUUGUUUUCCCAAUAUCUACUGUAAAACCUAAGAGGAAAAUUUCACGUUGCUGCAGCUUGGAUCAUGCAUUUAUCAUUUGGACCACCUCUGAGGACAGGGAGUUGCAGUCUGUGAGC